rnacentral:piRNA from 1 species
ACAACAACAAAAAUCUAAGAACGACCUAGCU